rnacentral:lncRNA from 1 species
GGCGAAGCUUCAAAGGUAAAACCCCUCCCUCCUUUUCUAAUUUUAUUUGUAAAACACAAUCAACAGUAAAGAAACAGAGAAUAGAUCAAAAAAAUGACGCGAUUCACCUUUCAAUUCCUCUGUAUUUUCAGUAUUUCUUUCCUCUUUUCUUCUUUUUUUUUUACAGAUUAAAAAUCAGCCAUUUAUAGCCAAGAAGCACAAAAAUAAAAUAAAAUCAAAUAAUAAAAACUAUUUAUUCUGUGAUUUCCUACGUCUACUGUCAUUUAGAUCUGAUUUUCUACAGGAAUGGAGGCCACGGAAGGGUGUGCACGUACGUUGAGGCGCAAAUCACGCGUAAGGAGGAUUCUGGCUCCGCGUCAUGCGGCGGUUGGAGUUACUGGAGGCUGCCACUAGGGUUUGGGGAAUUUGGGCUACUAGUUGGGCUAGGUUUAGGGUUAUUGGGCCUGUAAAAAACUUGGACUGCUUAUUUUUUGUUUUGUAAGGGCCCGGGUAAAUUGGGCUUAUUAC